UCUUUCGGGAUCUUGAGAGCGGCGUACGGGUGCGGAACACGUGUGCAACCUGCCUUUAUCUGGGGGAUAGCCUUUCGAAAGGAAGAUUAAUACCCCAUAAUAUAUUGAAUGGCAUCAUUUGAUAUUGAAAACUCCGGUGGAUAGAGAUGGGCACGCGCAAGAUUAGAUAGUUGGUGAGGUAACGGCUCACCAAGUCAGCGAUCUUUAGGGGGCCUGAGAGGGUGAUCCCCCACACUGGUACUGAGACACGGACCAGACUCCUACGGGAGGCAGCAGUGAGGAAUAUUGGACAAUGGGUGAGAGCCUGAUCCAGCCAUCCCGCGUGAAGGACGACGGCCCUAUGGGUUGUAAACUUCUUUUGUAUAGGGAUAAACCUACCCUCGUGAGGGUAGCUGAAGGUACUAUACGAAUAAGCACCGGCUAACUCCGUGCCAGCAGCCGCGGUAAUACGGAGGGUGCAAGCGUUAUCCGGAUUUAUUGGGUUUAAAGGGUCCGUAGGCUGAUUUGUAAGUCAGUGGUGAAAUCUCACAGCUUAACUGUGAAACUGCCAUUGAUACUGCAAGUCUUGAGUGUUGUUGAAGUAGCUGGAAUAAGUAGUGUAGCGGUGAAAUGCAUAGAUAUUACUUAGAACACCAAUUGCGAAGGCAGGUUACUAAGCAACAACUGACGCUGAUGGACGAAAGCGUGGGGAGCGAACAGGAUUAGAUACCCUGGUAGUCCACGCCGUAAACGAUGCUAACUCGUUUUUGGGCUUUUGGGUUCAGAGACUAAGCGAAAGUGAUAAGUUAGCCACCUGGGGAGUACGAACGCAAGUUUGAAACUCAAAGGAAUUGACGGGGGCCCGCACAAGCGGUGGAUUAUGUGGUUUAAUUCGAUGAUACGCGAGGAACCUUACCAAGGCUUAAAUGGGAAAUGACAGGCUUAGAAAUAGGCUUUUCUUCGGACAUUUUUCAAGGUGCUGCAUGGUUGUCGUCAGCUCGUGCCGUGAGGUGUUAGGUUAAGUCCUGCAACGAGCGCAACCCCUGUCACUAGUUGCCAUCAUUAAGUUGGGGACUCUAGUGAGACUGCCUACGCAAGUAGAGAGGAAGGUGGGGAUGACGUCAAAUCAUCACGGCCCUUACGCCUUGGGCCACACACGUAAUACAAUGGCCGGUACAGAGGGCAGCUACACUGCGAAGUGAUGCAAAUCUCGAAAGCCGGUCUCAGUUCGGAUUGGAGUCUGCAACUCGACUCUAUGAAGCUGGAAUCGCUAGUAAUCGCGCAUCAGCCAUGGCGCGGUGAAUACGUUCCCGGGCCUUGUACACACCGCCCGUCAAGCCAU
rnacentral:rRNA from 1 species